rnacentral:rRNA from 1 species
UGCCAGCAGCCGCGGUAAUACGGAGGGUGCAAGCGUUAAUCGGAAUUACUGGGCGUAAAGCGCGCGUAGGCGGUUAUUUAAGUUAGUGGUGAAAGCGUCCAGCUUAACUGGAUACCCGCCAUUGAUACUGGAAGGCUUGAGUAUGUCUGAGGAGAUUAGAAUGCGUGGUGUAGCGGUGAAAUGCAUAGAUAUCACGCAGAAUACCGAUUGCGAAGGCAGAUCUCUAGGGCAUAACUGACGCUGAGGCACGAAAGCGUGGGUAGCGAACAGGAUUAGAUA